GGGCUCGUGGCCUAGCAUGGAUAGGGCGCCAGCCUUCUAAGCUGGAUGUCGCGGGUUCGAAUCCCGCCGAGUCCG
rnacentral:tRNA from 1 species